rnacentral:rRNA from 1 species
GACGAACGCUGGCGGCGUGCUUAACACAUGCAAGUCGAACGGAAAGGCGCUGCUUUUGUGGGGUUCUCGAGUGGCGAACGGGUGAGUAACACGUGAGUAACCUGCCCUUGUCUUUGGGAUAACUUCAGGAAACUGGGGCUCAUACCGGAUAGGAGCUUCUGCUGCACGGUGGGGGUUGGAAAGAUUCGGCGGUGGGGGAUGGACUCGCGGCUUACGAGCUUGUUGGUGGGGUAGUGGCUUACCAAGCCUUUGACGGGUAGCCGGCCUGAGAGGGUGACCGGCCACAUGGGGACUGAGAUACGGCGCAGACGCCUACGGGAGGCAGCAGUGGGGAAUAUUGCACAAUGGGCGGAAGCCUGAUGCAGCAACGCCGCGUGCGGGAUGACGGCCUUCGGGUUGUAAACCGCUUUCGCCUGUGACGAAGCGUGAGUGACGGUAAUGGGUAAAGAAGCACCGGCUAACUACGUG